ensembl:lncRNA LINC00589 long intergenic non-protein coding RNA 589
AGACACACCUGGGUUCCUGGUGAGCUUCACUGCUUCCUGGUCUCUGAUAUCAGCUCUGCCCAAAUUUCAGCUGUCACAGAAUGAGUGAUCCUCAUAGUAUAAUGGAAAUGCAUCAUCUCAGUUUCCCCAUGGCCUGAAUGUCCAUACAAAAUGAGAGCCAGUAGAGAAAAACAGAGGACGUGAGGAGUUUUUAAAAAUUGAGGAAAAGUGGAAGGAAAAGUAAGGAUGAAGGUGAAGAUGAAGGAAUAUGUCAGAGAUGCUAGCACUGGCAUCCCCCACCACACAGUACCAUGUACUGCUAAAGAACUCUAGAACAUACAGAUUUCCAAAAGACCUUGGCUCAGGUGUCACUUUUGCAGAAAAGCAUUUACUGACUGUUGACUUGGCCAAAUCCCUGUGCUGUGUUUCCUAGUACGGUAAAUCAACUGUAUCCAGUAGUGGGACAGAUGCAGCAUGAAAGAAGAAAGUUACAAUUGCUUUAUCUGAUGCUGUCACUCAUGCCUGGUGUUGAGAGGCGCACAUUUUAAAAAGUCUAAUAGCUCCGACAUAUCUAGGAAACAGAUGGGAAACAAAUGAAGCAUUGAUGGAUUCGCAAAUUCCAGUUCUUUGAUAUUUGUCUGCCCAGGAAUGGGUGGGACAGAGAAAUGUAAGGGAAUAAUGAGGAUACGGGUGGGGAAAGGCUUGCAAUUUUUCCCGUUCUUCUUUGGAUAUGGACUGAAGGAAGGAUGUGGGGAGGAGGUGUUUAUCUUUUGCUUGUACUCUGAACUUUUCCAAAGUUACUGCAUUCCUUGGGAUAUAAAACUGUAAUCAAGAGUCUCUAAUGGAUAACUGCAAUUAUGCAUUGAGUCAUUCAACAAAUACACAUUAAUACUGACUAAAUUAAGCUCGAAUGGAACUUCAGGGCAAAAGAACAGAGAAAAUAAAAUACCACUAGAGAA